rnacentral:rRNA from 1 species
GACGAACGCUGGCGGCGUGCCUAAUACAUGCAAGUCGAACGAGAGCGACCGGUGCUUGCACUGGUCAAUCUAGUGGCGAACGGGUGAGUAACACGUGGGUAACCUGCCCAUCAGAGGGGGAUAACAUCCGGAAACGGAUGCUAAAACCGCAUAGGUCUUCGAGCCGCAUGGCUUGAAGAGGAAAAGAGGCGCAAGCUUCUGCUGAUGGAUGGACCCGCGGUGCAUUAGCUAGUUGGUGAGGUAACGGCUCACCAAGGCCGUGAUGCAUAGCCGACCUGAGAGGGUGAUCGGCCACAUUGGGACUGAGACACGGCCCAAACUCCUACGGGAGGCAGCAGUAGGGAAUCUUCCGCAAUGGACGCAAGUCUGACGGAGCAACGCCGCGUGAGUGAAGAAGGUUUUCGGAUCGUAAAACUCUGUUGUUAGGGAAGAACAAGUGCUAGAGUAACUGUUAGCGCCUUGACGGUAUCUAACCAGAAAGCCACGGCUAACUACGUG